ACCCAAAUCUAACACUCGAAAAAACAUUACACGGUAAACACCAUCUUGAAUCCUAGACUUCGAUCAGAGCUUCAGAAAUGGACGCUCUAGACUCCGUCAUGGAUCCUCUCAGGGAAUUUUCCAAGGGCAGCGUCCGCCUCGUCAAGCGCUGCCACAAGCCUGAUCGCAAAGAAUUCACCAAGGUUGCGUUCCGUACAGCCAUCGGGUUUGUGGUUAUGGGAUUUGUUGCAUUUUUCGUUAAAUUGAUCUUCAUUCCCAUUAACAACAUCAUCGUUGGUUCUGGAUAGGUCUCUUUUGGCUUAUGGAUGAUUUAGGGAAGUAAUGAAGUCAUGACAAUGAUCUUUAUGGAUGAAGUUGGCUCACGGAAUUUCCACCAGAGGGCCCGUUUCGAAAUUGAAGAUAUUUAGGGGGAUGGAAUCAGUCCGGCCAGCAUCCAAAGAGGUGCUUAGCAUAGAACAUUUAGGCCUUUUUAUUUUAGAUGUAUCAGUACUUUGAGUGAACUUGUAAUCGGUGGAAUGAAAACAUUUGGGAUCUCUUUGAAGCUGUUUUAUCUUUGAUGGUUUCGGGCAGCAUCGAUAUAAAUUCAUUUGUUUUUACAGAGUUAAUUUUCAUAUUUAGUUUCUCCAA